UACAGGGGGUGCUAGCGUUGUUCGGAAUCACUGGGCGUAAAGGGCGCGUAGGCGGUUUUGCAAGUCAGAAGUGAAAUCCCGGAGCUUAACUCCGGAAUUGCUCCUGAUACUGCAAGGCUAGAGUGUAUUAGAGGAUGGCGGAAUUCCUAGUGUAGUGGUGAAAUACGUAGAUAUUAGGAAGAACACCUGUGGCGAAGGCGGCCAUCUGGGAUACAACUGACGCUGAGGCGCGAAAGCGUGGGGAGCAAACAGG
rnacentral:rRNA from 1 species